rnacentral:rRNA from 1 species
UACGUAGGGCGCAAGCGUUGUCCGGAAUUAUUGGGCGUAAAGAGCGUGUAGGCGGCCUGAAAGGUCAGCUGUGAAAACUCGAGGCUCAACCUCGAGACGUCGGUUGAAACCAUCUGGCUAGAGUCCGGAAGAGGAGUGUGGAAUUCCCGGUGUAGCGGUGAAAUGCGCAGAUAUCGGGAAGAACACCCGUGGCGAAGGCGGCACUCUGGGACGGUACUGACGCUGAGACGCGAAAGCGUGGGGAGCGAACAGG